rnacentral:lncRNA from 1 species
UGUAUCCUGAGGGGUGCACUGAUGAGUGCAUCAUUUGAAGGUGUGUUUUGCUACAAAAAUAUCUUCUGAUUGCUAGUUGGGGUGGGAAUGGGGGGAGGGAGAAAGGAAAAGGCAAAUGGGUGUUCUAUUUAUUUCUCCAAAAGUCACCAUUCAGGGAGUUCCCAUCCUGGCUCAGCGGUAACAAACCCUAUGAGUACCCAUGAGGAUGCAGGUUCGAUCCCUGGCCUCUUUCAGUGGGUUAAGGAACCAGCAGUGCUGCGAGCUGAGCUGUGAUGUAGGUUGCAGGUGCUGUUUCUGUGGCUGAGGUGUAGUCCAGCAGCUGUAGCUCCAAUGCGACCCCUAGCCUGGAAACUUCCAUAUGCCGCAAGUGUGGCCCUAAAAAGAAAAAAAAAGUCACCAUCUGUUGGCAUGAAAUGCCCCUGUCAACAUGAUCUUGUGCCCCAGCGUAUGCCACACUUGUCUCCAUCUGGUGCUGGAUCCACUGCAUAACAUCAGAAAACCACAUACCAAAGAAUGGGAUCUUCUGAAAAACUCCUUUAUUUAAAGACGAGAGUAAAUACUAGAAAUCUGAAGUCUUCAAUUACACCCAGAGGAGUGGCAAAUGUACUAUUCAUCCCACGCCUUAUUUUUUUUUUUUAGUGUGUAGUUUCUAAAACGUAGAACCCAUGGACCCUUAUUAUUCUCCACAGGUUAUUUUCGUACGUAAAGAUUUCAGUUCUCUGAUGUUGGGCAUUUUUUCAGACGUCAUUGAAAGCACACAGGAUGGUAAAAGGAUUCACAAAUGGAAGCUUCGAUGGCAUUUGUAUUGAGAAAUGGAAAAAUUAGUCCAGAAGCCUUAACUCCACAUGCCAAUAGGAAGUGACCAGAAGGAAAAGGAGGCAGGAAGUUAUCAGCUGCAAUUCUGCCACCUGGGAGCACGGGUUUCAUUCAGCUAUAAAACCUACUUUGGGUAAUCUCUCGGCAAGUCUUUCUGAAGAAAGUUCCAGGCAGCGACCCUGCUCACUCCAUCCUGGGAAGUCUCUGGGGUCCCCUAGAGUCCCCAGUAUCACGCUUUUUCGCUGCUGGAGCAUUUGUUUUAAGAGAUUCUGCGUGCUGCCCAGAAGUGAGCUGGACCUUCAUUCGUGUGUAUGUUCAUUCAUUCCCACAUUUAACAGGUAUGUAUUGAGUGCCCAAAGCCCGCUGCGUCCUGGUCUAGGUGCUUUUCAUACCUCAGGGAGCAAAGAACAAGAACCCUGCCCUCUGCCACUUGGCAUCAUGGCCAUCCUAGUGGGUGGUGAGGAUGAUAAGAGAGGCAAGACAUUUCAGGCAAGAAGAAGAGCACAGGCUAGAGGCAAGAGUCAGAAGACAGCCUGGCAGGUCCCAGGAAAGAACUGCAAACUCUUCAAAAGUGCUGGAAGGUAA